rnacentral:rRNA from 1 species
AGUGAACGCUGGCGGUAGGCCUAACACAUGCAAGUCGAACGGCAGCACAGUAAGAGCUUGCUCUUACGGGUGGCGAGUGGCGGACGGGUGAGGCAUACAUCAGAAUCUACUUUUACGUGGGGGAUAACGUAGGAAAACAUACGCUAAUACAGCAUACGACCUACGGCUGAAUUCAGUGGUGCUUCGCGCCUUUCGCGACUCAAUUAGCCGGCGCCGCAUUAGCUAGUUGGCGGGGUAAAGGCCCACCAAGGCGACGAUCCGUAGCUGGUCUGAGAGGAUGAUCAGCCACACUGGAACUGAGACACGGUCCAGACUCCUACGGGAGGCAGCAGUAGGGAAUCUUCGACAAUGGGCGAAAGCCUGACGCAGCAAUACCGCGUGAGUGAUGAAGGCCUUCGGGUUGUAAAGCCCUUUUGUUGGGAAAGAAAAGCAGCAGGUGAAAACCCCGCCGUUCUGACGGUACCCAAAGAAAAAGCACCGGCUAACUUCGUG